UACGUAGGGAGCAAGCGUUGUCCGGAAUCAUUGGGCGUAAAGGGUGCGUAGGCGGCGCGGUAAGUCGGGUGUGAAAUCUCGGGGCUUAACUCCGAAACUGCAUUCGAUACUGCCGUGCUUGAGGACUGGAGAGGAGACUGGAAUUUACGGUGUAGCGGUGAAAUGCGUAGAUAUCGUAAGGAAGACCAGUGGCGAAGGCGGGUCUCUGGACAGUUCCUGACGCUGAGGCACGAAGGCCAGGGGAGCAAAACGGG
rnacentral:rRNA from 1 species